GACACAUUGGAGGCAAAUACAAAGACGUUUGUGAAAAGUGCUAGCUAAUCGAGUUGUUUUGACGUGGUGGUACUGGUAGACACAAAUGUUCUAGAAAAACCAUGCAUGUACAAACAACAAGUCCUGAUUUGGAGUUGAAAGGCAUGUGACGUGAGCCACAAUUAAUAAUUGGAGAACCUAACUCAUCAAGACGCUAACAUGUUGGAGGACCCCAGCGAACUUUCAACUACUAGUCCUUAAUCAUGAAGAUUUGACUAUGUCUAAUCAUGAAGAUUUGACUAUGUCAUGAGAAAAGGGCGGCAUGGUAAAAAACUACACCCUCUCUCUCUAUCCAUUUCACUUGUCAAGGAGUUUCACUUGUCACGGAGCUAAAACGAUAUUAGUUACCCAAAAAUUUUACAAAAUUUUUCAGAUUCUUCGUUACAUCGAAUCUUUAGACGUAUGCAUGAAGUAUUAAAUAUAAAUGAAAAUAAAAACUAAUUGUACAGUUUGGUCGGAAUUGACGAGACGAAUCUUUUGAGCCUAGUUAGUCCAUAAUUGGAUAAUAUUUAUCAAAUACAAACGAAAGUGCUACUAUUCAUAUUUUGCAAAAAUUUUUGAAAGUAAACAAGGCCUGUACAAAUUUGAAACGGACAGCGUACUCUGUGUGGCCUGUGUUGGUAGGUAGCGUGAUUAGAUUGGAGAUAUGGCCGAAACAAGAGGACGCUCAUCAUCAUCAGUGACGCAAAGGCUCCUCCGUAUAGCAUUACGCCGUUUUAUUUUAUUUUAUUUUAUUUGUCCCACGUGCCGCUCGCGGCUACUCUACUCCUAGCGGGCAGCUGGCGCAGUAUCGAUGGGCUAGGCGGAGGGGCAGGCGAGCGUUACGUGUCGUGUAACAGCCGCUGCGAGAUGCGGCUGUAUUGUACUCCCUCCAUCCCAAUAAUUAAUUUACAAGUCAUUCUAAAAAUAUUA
rnacentral:lncRNA from 1 species